CUGAAUCUCCCAGAGAUGUUAAGGGUACGUGCGUCUGUGGAGUACUCAGCCACUUGCACGUUAUUUUCAUGAGCAGGCUUUUCCAUUGAUCGGAUCAGCUGGAACCCUUGUUGUCGUAACCGACGAUGCACUAGUAGCAGUGGUUCAAUCCCUGUCAUAUUCUGAGGGCCAAGUCACUUGGCUCAGCUAGACUUAUCGCUACAAAGGGAUGGGUGGGGAAUAAAAAGAAAAAUAACAUAACAUGUUGAUGACAG